rnacentral:rRNA from 1 species
CCAAUAGCGUAUAUUAAAGUUGUUGCAGUUAAAAAGCUCGUAGUUGAACUUCGGGGUUUACCCAUUGGUCAGGCUUAAUUGUCUGUACUGGUGAGAUAAAUCUCUACCUUCUGAGGAACUUUCAUGUCAUUAAUUUGGUGUGAUUGGAAAUCAGGACUGUUACUUUGAAAAAAUUAGAGUGUUUAUAUCAGGCUAACGUCUGAAUACAUUAGCAUGGAAUAAUGAAUAAGGACGGCUUGAUUCUAUUUCGUUGGUUUCUAGGAUCACCGUAAUGAUUAAUAGGGAUAGUUGGGGGCAUUAGUAUUCAAUUGUCAGGGGUGAAAUUCUUGGAUUUAUUGAAGACUAACUACUGCGAAAGCAUUUGCCAAGGAUGUUUUCAUUAAUCAAGAACGAAAGUUAGGGGAUCGAAGACGAUCAGAUACCGUCGUAGUCUUAACCAUAAACUAUGCCGACUAGGGAUCGGACGAAGUUAAUUUUAUAAUGACGCGUUCGGCACCUUACG